rnacentral:rRNA from 1 species
GACGAACGCUGGCGGCGUGCUUAACACAUGCAAGUCGAACGGAAAGGCCCUGCUUUUGUGGGGUGCUCGAGUGGCGAACGGGAGAGUAACACGUGAGUAACCUGCCCUUGACUUUGGGAUAACUUCAGGAAACUGGGGCCAAUACCGGAUAGGAGCUCCUGCUGCAUGGUGGGGGUUGGAAAGUUUCGGCGGUUGGGGAUGGACUCGCGGCUUAUCAGCUUGUUGGUGGGGUAGUGGCUUACCAAGGCUUUGACGGGUAGCCGGCCUGAGAGGGUGACCGGCCACAUUGGGACUGAGAUACGGCCCAGACUCCUACGGGAGGCAGCAGUGGGGAAUAUUGCACAAUGGGCGGAAGCCUGAUGCAGCAACGCCGCGUGCGGGAUGACGGCCUUCGGGUUGUAAACCGCUUUCGCCUGUGACGAAGCGUGAGUGACGGUAAUGGGUAAAGAAGCACCGGCUAACUACGUGCCAGCAGCCGCGGUGAUACGUAGGGUGCGAGCGUUGUCCGGAUUUAUUGGGCGUAAAGGGCUCGUAGGUGGUUGAUCGCGUCGGAAGUGUAAUCUUGGGGCUUAACCCUGAGCGUGCUUUCGAUACGGGUUGACUUGAGGAAGGUAGGGGAGAAUGGAAUUCCUGGUGGAGCGGUGGAAUGCGCAGAUAUCAGGAGGAACACCAGUGGCGAAGGCGGUUCUCUGGGCCUUUCCUGACGCUGAGGAGCGAAAGCGUGGGGAGCGAACAGGCUUAGAUACCCUGGUAGUCCACGCUGUAAACGGUGGGUACUAGGUGUGGGGUCCAUUCCACGGGUUCCGUGCCGUAGCUAACGCUUUAAGUACCCCGCCUGGGGAGUACGGCCGCAAGGCUAAAACUCAAAGGAAUUGACGGGGCCCCGCACAAGCGGCGGAGCAUGCGGAUUAAUUCGAUGCAACGCGUAGAACCUUACCUGGGUUUGACAUGGAUCGGGAGUGCUCAGAGAUGGGUGUGCCUCUUUUGGGGUCGGUUCACAGGUGGUGCAUGGCUGUCGUCAGCUCGUGUCGUGAGAUGUUGGGUUAAGUCCCGCAACGAGCGCAACCCUUGUUCACUGUUGCCAGCACGUUAUGGUGGGGACUCAGUGGAGACCGCCGGGGUCAACUCGGAGGAAGGUGGGGAUGACGUCAAGUCAUCAUGCCCCUUAUGUCCAGGGCUUCACGCAUGCUACAAUGGCUGGUACAGAGAGUGGCGAGCCUGUGAGGGUGAGCGAAUCUCGGAAAGCCGGUCUCAGUUCGGAUUGGGGUCUGCAACUCGACCUCAUGAAGUCGGAGUCGCUAGUAAUCGCAGAUCAGCAACGCUGCGGUGAAUACGUUCCCGGG